GGGGAAUAUUGCACAAUGGGCGAAAGCCUGAUGCAGCAACGCCGCGUGAGGGACGACGGCCUUCGGGUUGUAAACCUCUUUUAGUAGGGAAGAAGCGAAAGUGACGGUACCUGCAGAAAAAGCACCGGCUAACUACGUGCCAGCAGCCGCGGUAAUACGUAGGGUGCAAGCGUUAUCCGGAAUUAUUGGGCGUAAAGAGCUCGUAGGCGGUUUGUUGCGUCUGCUGUGAAAUCCCGAGGCUCAACCUCGGGCUUGCAGUGGGUACGGGCAGACUAGAGUGCGGUAGGGGAGAUUGGAAUUCCUGGUGUAGCGGUGGAAUGCGCAGAUAUCAGGAGGAACACCGAUGGCGAAGGCAGAUCUCUGGGCCGUAACUGACGCUGAGGAGCGAAAGCAUGGGGAGCGAAC
rnacentral:rRNA from 1 species